CCUACGGGAGGCAGCAGUGGGGAAUAUUGCACAAUGGGGGAAACCCUGAUGCAGCGACGCCGCGUGAGGGAAGAAGUAAUUCGGUAUGUAAAGCUCUAUCAGCAGGGAAGAAAAUGACGGUACCUGAGUAAGAAGCCCCGGCUAACUACGUGCCAGCAGCCGCGGUAAUACGUAGGGGGCAAGCGUUAUCCGGGUGUACUGGGUGUGAAGGGAGCGUAGACGGCGGUGCAAGUGUGGAGUGAAAGGCGGGGGCUCAACCCCCGGACUGCUCUGGAAACUGUACGGCUGGAGUGCAGGAGAGGUAAGUGGAAUUCCUAGUGUAGCGGUGAAAUGCGUAGAUAUUAGGAGGAACACCAGUGGCGAAGGCGACUUACUGGACUGUAACUGACGUUGAGGCUCGAAAGCGUGGGGAGCAAACAGGAUUAGAUACCCUAGUAGUC
rnacentral:rRNA from 1 species